rnacentral:rRNA from 1 species
UACGGAGGAUGCAAGCGUUAUCCGGAAUGAUUGGGCAUAAAGCGUCCGCAGGUGGCAAUGUAAGUCUGCUGUCAAAGCGUCUGGCUCAACCAGAUAAAGGCAGUGGAAACUACAUAGCUAGAGUAAGGUAGGGGUAGAGGGAAUUCCUGGUGUAGCGGUGAAAUGCGUAGAGAUCAGGAAGAACACCGGUGGCGAAAGCGCUCUGCUGGACCUUAACUGACACUGAGGAACGAAAGCGUGGGGAGCGAACAGG